rnacentral:ncRNA from 1 species
GUGUUUGAUGAAAGGAGAGGGUUGGCACUUUCCUUGACAAGGAUGGAUGGAAGAGGCCCCAGGCCUGACAACACACAUAUGGGUAAUGCAUUGCCACAUUGUCACAUUGUGACAUCUAACCAUGGUUUUUA